rnacentral:lncRNA from 1 species
CCCAUCAGAGUUUCGAGCGAGUUUCACUACUCAUCAACAUUGCCCCUUGGAUGACGAGUGAGGUAAAGAGUGUGAGCUUGCUCCUCCUUCUCUUUCACCUUUUUUUCCUGACAGGACUUGUUUGUGAGUGGAUGAUCUACAUGCCACCGACUAAAAGGAAGAUCGACCGACAUGACAAAUUGGAUUGGAAGAUCCAAGAG